AGUGAACGCUGGCGGUAGGCCUAACACAUGCAAGUCGAACGGCAGCACAGUAAGAGCUUGCUCUUACGGGUGGCGAGUGGCGGACGGGCGAGGAAUACAUCGGAAUCUACUUUUUCGUGGGGGAUAACGUAGGGAAACUUACGCUAAUACCGCAUCCGACCUACGGGUGAAAGCAGGGGAUCUUCGGACCUUGCGCGAUUGAAUGAGCCGAUGUCGGAUUAGCUAGUUGGCGGGGUAAAGGCCCACCAAGGCGACGAUCCGUAGCUGGCCUGAGAGGAUGAUCAGCCACACUGGAACUGAGACACGGUCCAGACUCCUACGGGAGGCAGCAGUGGGGAAUAUUGGACAAUGGGCGCAAGCCUGAUCCAGCCAUACCGCGUGGGUGAAGAAGGCCUUCGGGUUGUAAAGCCCUUUUGUUGGGAAAGAAAAGCAGCAGGUUAAUACCCCGCUGUUCUGACGGUACCCAAAGAAUAAGCACCGGCUAACUUCGUG
rnacentral:rRNA from 1 species